GACGAACGCUGGCGGCGUGCUUAACACAUGCAAGUCGAGCGGAGCGGCGAACGGGUGAGUAACGCGUGAGUAACUGCCCCCCUCUCUGGGAUAACAGUUGGGAACGGCUGCUCAUACCGGAUAGUGGGGGAUGACUCGCGGCCUAUCAGCUGGGUGGUGGGGUAGUGUCCUACCAAGGCGACGACGGGUAGCCGGCCGGAGAGGGGGACCGGCCACAGUGGGCUGAGAUACGGCCCAAACUCCUACGGGGGGCAGCAGUGGGGAAUAUUGCACAAUGGGGGAAACCCUGAUGCAGCAAGGCCGCGUGCGGGAUGACGGCCUUCGGGUUGUAAACCGCUUUCAGCCAGGACGCGGUAGUGGCAGAAGAAGCACCGGCGAACUACGUGCCAGCAGCCGCGGUAAUUC
rnacentral:rRNA from 1 species